CUCUCUGUAGCUGAGUGGCAGAGCACUGGUCUUGUGAACCAAGGGUCGUGAGUUCAAUCCUCACAGGAGGCG